GGCUACAGCCAUACCACCCUGAACACACAUGGUCUAAGCAGCUAAGAAGGGUCAGACCAGAUUAGUACUUUGGUGGGAGAAUUUUUUUUUUGAGACAGGAUUUCUCUGUAGUUU
rnacentral:rRNA from 1 species